rnacentral:rRNA from 1 species
AACGGGGGGGGGACAAGCGUUAUUGCGUCAGGACUGGGUGUGAAAGGAUCUGUAGAUUGCCAUGAGAACAGUUUGGAAACGAAAACGCUUUAGGCUCAACCCUUUUUGAGGUUUUCCUCAGAGCAAACUCGUGUGCUUUGAGUUAUAUGGGAGGUUAAAAGUACUUUAACUUAGAAAGGUAGAAUUUGUCGACAGUUAUAAGGACUAC